rnacentral:rRNA from 1 species
GAUGAACGCUAGCGGCGUGCCUAAUACAUGCAAGUCGAGCGAAAAGACGACUACCUUGCUCCUCUAACGUUAGCCGCGGACGUAUGGGUAACACGUUGUUCACCUCCCUAUAAGACUGGCCUAACUUCGUGAAACCGGUGCUAAUACCGAUAUAUAUGUUGCACCGCUUUUUUCAUUAAUCAACGACGGUUUUAGUUUAGCUUAUGUAUUAUUCGCCGCCGCGUUAGCUAGUGGGUAAGGUAACGGCUUACCCAGGCGACGAUGCGUAGCCGACGUGAGAGGGGGGUCGGCCACCCUGGAACUGAGCCACGGUCCGGACCAGUACGGGAGGCAGCAGUAGAGAAUCUUCCGCAAUGGGCGAAUGGCUGACGGAGCAACGCCGCGUGAGGUAUGAAGGUCUGCGGAUCGGAAAACUAUGUUAUUAGUGAAGAACAAAUGUGUAAGUAACGAGGAACGUCUUGACGGUACCUAAUCAGAAAGCCACGGCUAACUACGUG